CUGCCGGGCCUUUUGGGGGCUUCAUGGGGGCCUUUUUGGGGGGCUAUCAGGGCCUUUUGGGGGGCUGCUGGGGGGCUAUCGGGGCCUUUUGGGGGGCUUUUGGGGGACUUUUGGGGUUUUUUGGGGGGCUAUCAGGGCCUUUUGGGGCCUUUUGGGGGGCUGCAGGGGGCUUUUGGGGCCUUUUGGGGGGCUUCUGGGGC
rnacentral:lncRNA from 7 species